rnacentral:misc_RNA from 1 species
UUAAGUUCAGCGGGUAGUCCUGCCUGAUUUGAGGUCAAAUUGUGUGAGACUGACUGACCAUCGUCAUUUCUGGCUGGGCCGGCAUGGGUCACGAGCAGGUAAGACAUUGAUUGUAUCAUACCGACGUAAAUUGCCACCUUGAUGCCAAUCCAUUUCAGAGAAGCAAGCGCAAACCCAGCAUUUUGGGUAGCAAUGCAUCC